rnacentral:tRNA from 1 species
GGAGAGGUGGCCGAGCGGUUGAAGGCGCACGAUUGGAAUUCGUGUAUGCGCGAAAGCGUAUCGAGGGUUCGAAUCCCUUCCUCUCCGCCA